rnacentral:rRNA from 1 species
GACGAACGCUGGCGGCGUGCUUAACACAUGCAAGUCGAACGGAAAGGCCCUGCUUUUGUGGGGUGCUCGAGUGGCGAACGGGUGAGUAACACGUGAGUAACCUGCCCUUGACUUUGGGAUAACUUCAGGAAACUGGGGCUAAUACCGGAUAGGAGCUCCUGCUGCAUGGUGGGGGUUGGAAAGUUUCGGCGGUUGGGGAUGGACUCGCGGCUUAUCAGCUUGUUGGUGGGGUAGUGGCUUACCAAGGCUUUGACGGGUAGCCGGCCUGAGAGGGUGACCGGCCACAUUGGGACUGAGAUACGGCCCAGACUCCUACGGGAGGCAGCAGUGGGGAAUAUUGCACAAUGGGCGGAAGCCUGAUGCAGCAACGCCGCGUGCGGGAUGACGGCCUUCGGGUUGUAAACCGCUUUCGCCUGUGACGAAGCGUGAGUGACGGUAAUGGGUAAAGAAGCACCGGCUAACUACGUGCCAGCAGCCGCGGUGAUACGUAGGGUGCGAGCGUUGUCCGGAUUUAUUGGGCGUAAAGGGCUCGUAGGUGGUUGAUCGCGUCGGAAGUGUAAUCUUGGGGCUUAACCCUGAGCGUGCUUUCGAUACGGGUUGACUUGAGGAAGGUAGGGGAGAAUGGGAUUCCUGGUGGAGCGGUGGAAUGCGCAGAUAUCAGGAGGAACACCAGUGGCGAAGGCGGUUCUCUGGGCCUUUCCUGACGCUGAGGAGCGAAAGCGUGGGGAGCGAACAGGCUUAGAUACCCUGGUAGUCCACGCUGUAAACGGUGGGUACUAGGUGUGGGGUCCAUUCCACGGGUUCCGUGCCGUAGCUAACGCUUUAAGUACCCCGCCUGGGGAGUACGACCGCACGGCUAAAACUCAAAGGAAUUGGCGGGGCCCCGCACAAGCGGCGGAGCAUGCGGAUCAAUUCGAUGCAACGCGUAGAACCUUACCUGGGUUUGACAUGGAUCGGGAGUGCUCAGAGAUGGGUGUGCCUCUUUUGGGGUCGGUUCACAGGUGGUGCAUGGCUGUCGUCAGCUCGUGUCGUGAGAUGUUGGGUUAAGUCCCGCAACGAGCGCAACCCUUGUUCACUGUUGCCAGCACGUUAUGGUGGGGACUCAGUGGAGACCGCCGGGGUCAACUCGGAGGAAGGUGGGGAUGACGUCAAGUCAUCAUGCCCCUUAUGUCCAGGGCUUCACGCAUGCUACAAUGGCUGGUACAGAGAGUGGCGAGCCUGUGAGGGUGAGCGAAUCUCGGAAAGCCGGUCUCAGUUCGGAUUGGGGUCCGCAACUCGACCUCAUGAAGUCGGAGUCGCUAGUAAUCGCAGAUCAGCAACGCUGCGGUGAAUACGUUCCCGGGUCU